rnacentral:tRNA from 1 species
UAGCUCAGUCAGUUGAGUGUGGCGUUAGCAACGCCAAGGUCGCAGGUUCGAUUCCCGU